UACGUAGGUGGCGAGCGUUGUCCGGAUUUAUUGGGUUUAAAGGGUGCGUAGGCGGCUUUUUAAGUCAGUGGUGAAAUAUUUCAGCUUAACUGAGAGGGUGCCAUUGAUACUGGAGAGCUUGAGUACAGACGAGGUAGGCGGAAUUGACGGUGUAGCGGUGAAAUGCAUAGAUAUCGUCAAGAACACCGAUAGUGAAGACAGCUUACCAGGCUGUAACUGACGCUGAGGCACGAAAGUGUGGGGAUCAAACAGG
rnacentral:rRNA from 1 species